rnacentral:rRNA from 1 species
GACGAACGCUGGCGGCGUGCUUAACACAUGCAAGUCGAACGGAAAGGCCCUGCUUUUGUUGGGUGCUCGAGUGGCGAACGGGUGAGUAACACGUGAGUAACCUGCCCUUUACUUUGGGAUAACUUCAGGAAACUGGUGCUAAUACUGGAUAUUCGCUCCUGCUCCCUUGUGGGUGUUGGAAAGUUUAGGCGGUUGUGGAUGGACUCGCCGCUUCUUAUCUUGUUGUUGGGGUAGUGGGUUACCAAGGCUUUGACGGGUAGGCGGCCUGAGAGGGUGACCGGCGACAUUGGGACUGAGAUACGGCCGAGAGUAGUACGGGAGGAAGCAGUGGGGAAUAUGGAAGAAUGGGCGGAAGCCUGAGGGAGAAACGCCGAGUGCGGGAUGACGGCAUUCGGGUUGGAAACCGCUUACGCCGGUGAAGAAGCGGGAGUGACGGUAAUGGGUAAAGAAGCACCGGCUAACUACGUG